CAGAGAACAAAUGUAACAUGUGCUAAAGGGGAGUCACCAAGAGGAAAAAAAAAUCUCCCAUGCUUUCACUGAAAGCAACUUGGUCAAGCAAGGCUGUGACCCAUCCUGAUGGCUGACACUGAUAGAGGAACUGAGAGGCUCUACCUACUUGUGAUUACAGAGGAAUGCAGCUGAUGCAUGGAAGAGAAAAGGAAGAUAGCGAGGAUUAAGGAGGGAGUAACAACUGUGUGAAAUAUUGUAAAGAAGUCAAGCUAAG
rnacentral:lncRNA from 1 species